CAGGGGGGGUUGGGUUACCCCCUUGCUAAUCAAAUUUAUCAGGCUAAUAUACUAGUUCAUGCCAGUAAAUUACAAUUAACCAACUCUAUAGACCAAGCCUGGUAUAAAAUCGAAGCAGCCAGACUUGGUUUAGAUAACCUUGAAUUUCUUUUAUGGAGAGAGGCAAGUCAGAACAGGCAUCUGUGUGAAAUGGGUUCUCACUGUCCUUCGACCUUAU
rnacentral:lncRNA from 1 species